ACUUUGAAGAGAGAGUUCAAUAGUACGUGAAACCGUCCAGGGGUAAACCCGAGAAACCCGAAAGGUCGAAAGGGGAGAUUCAACGCGAGUAGGAGUUCGCGAGCGGCGCGCGUCUGUUGACGGCCAGCCCAGCUUCGGCAGUGGCAAAGUCGCGCGGCGCGUCGAACGAUCGGGCUCCGAACGCGUGCACUUCUCCUCCUGUAGGACGUCGUGAUCCGUUGGGCGCCGGCCAAAGGCCCGCGGUGGAGAUCGGACGCCCUAGACGCGUCCGUACCCGCGGUGUCCCGACCGGCUCGACCGACGGUAUAUCGGAUGGCGCGGGGCCGCGAACAAUUCGCGUCCGGCGCGUCGCAA
rnacentral:rRNA from 1 species